rnacentral:rRNA from 1 species
CUGCUGCCUCCCGUAGGAGUCUGGUCCGUGUCUCAGUACCAGUGUGGGGGACCGUUCCUCUCAGAACCCCUACCGCAUCGUCGCCUUGGUGGGCGUACCCCGCCAACAAGCUAAUGCGACGCAUGACCAUCCGUAGCCGGAAUCGCUUCCUUUAAACCCACAGAGAUGCCUCCAUGGGUUGUUACGCGGUAUUAGACGGAAUUUCUUCCGCUUAUCCCCCUGCUACGGGCAGGUUUCAUACGUGUUACUCACCCGUGCGCCGGUCGCCGGCGGG